AAGGUAAAAAGUGAAAGGGUGUAACGUUCGUCUCCAACGGCACUGUAACGUUCACCUAGUCAGAAAGGUGUUACGCUCGUCACAGGGGCGUGACGGGCGUAACAGGUACUUGGCAUGCCGUCCGUCAUAGAUUGUGUGACGCUCGUCACACAUUCUUUUUGGCAUGGCUUCAGCUAGCGUUCUUCAGAAUAACUUGGUAAUUUAUUUUUAUUAUUUUUUUGUUUUGUUUUGCUUUUGAUUAUUUUAUUUUGCUAUUUAAUUUUCUGCAUGUCAUUCUACUUUGCACAAUGAUGCAUAAAUAUAUUGUUCUUUAAUAAGUCAUGUAGGCAGCAACAGUAGAGAGCAUAAUAGAUAUUACAUAAUAAAAUGAAUAAAUAGCUUCAAUAAAAUAAUCAUAAUGUAACAAUGGAGAAAAACAAAAAGUGUGAAAGAGAAACAA
rnacentral:lncRNA from 1 species